CUCAUGUGGGGUGUGUGUGUGCGUGUGUGUAUAAUAUAUACAAAAAAAAAAAAAACAGCACGCUCAUAUUAAGAUUGAUUUUUUUUUUUUCCUUCUUUCAUUUCUGUGGUUUGUGUUUAUCCCUCUUCAAUCUCUCCAAAAUUUCUGAUUUUAUUUUUUCUUUUUCAGAAUUACAGGUUCUUCCAUUUAUAGAUUACUCUAUCUUAACAUUCAAAGGUGGAAAAAAAUGAGCUAUAUCAUGUUAAUAUGAACCAAUAUUUGACUUUAAUGGUGCAACAGGUGAUACAUUCAAUCCAUGGUGAUAAGAAUUUUAGUAUUGUACUGCUGAAUCUUUAUAAGUGAUACAUUCAUGAUAAGUUAUUCAAUGAAUCAUGAUUUUGAAUCUUUGAAUUGGUGCUGAAAUGGUCUGGUUAGGGUGGAAUUUCAGUCAUCUUCUUUUUUUUUUUUUUUUUUUUUUGCAGCUGAGUUUUUGCUGAGUGGUUUUUUAUUAGGUUUUUAAAUGAAGAAGCUAAAAAGCUCUUCUUUUUUGCUUUAUUUCUCAUGAAAAUGGUGGUUCUGGUGUGAGAAUUUUAGGUGGGAGGUUCUCUUAUUGUGUUGAAAUUGUUUCUCAUUUGGCUUUUACUUUUGUGUUUGCGUUGGUUUUGUGUAUGAAACUUCAUGUGGAAAUUACUGGCUUUUGGGUUAUGGUGGUUUUGGUAUAUUAUCUUUGACAGUGAGAAGAGGGUAAGAGAUUUUCAGAGUGGAAGAAAGGAUGGAAAGGAGAGAUUUCCUGUUUUGGGAACUAACUUUGCUGGAUUUGGUAUGGAUGGAAAGCUCCAACGCAAACCUUCUUCUUCUAUCAUACACUAUGAAGGUCAGUUGGGUUCUCUUAUUUUUAUUUUUUGAUUUUUAACUCCCUUCCCUUCACGCAUCAUCUGUUUGCUAGGAUCGUCUUGGCACAAGUUUAAUAAUAAAUUAUAUAUGCUUGUUCGGAUUGGCUUGAAAUGAUGAGGAGUUUGUUCUUUUGAGGUUUCUAUGAGAUUUUGAAAGCCAAUUGCAUGGACAAAGUCCACGGCUAGACAUAAAGAUUUUGUUCACCGGCCAUAAGGUUCCAUUUAACAACUGGCUCUGAUGUGUAUGUGCACCAAUUAGGAACUCUACCCAAUCCAUGGUGCUAGUUGUUAAAGGGCACUACAAGGCUCUAAUGUAUCAGACAGUCGAACUGGAUCGAGAGCAAUGUAACAGCUAUUCAGCAAAUGCAAAGAGCAUUACCAGGAGCAUUUUGUAACAGAUUUGGUCGCCAUUAUCAGCUCUAUUUUAGAACUUGGAGAACUUGCAAACGAAGUGCUUGAAAGCCACAAUGUAUUACAAGAUCAGUUGCAGGCCUCUCAGAUUUGUUCUCAGGUACUCGAAUCACUGGAUGUAAAAUGCAGUGUAUCUUCAACCAUAAAAGUUGGGAGUAUGAAACAAAUCCAUGUAUUCAUUAAAUAUUCAAACUUCAGCAGUCAAAGGAACAAAGAAAGAGGGCGUUCAGAAAGGAAUGCAUGUAGCCAACUGAUACUUCUGUUGAGGAGACAUCUGAUACUUCAGAAAGGAAUGCCUGCACCAGUAAUGAAAGAGAUCAGCUUGAGUUCAUGCAUGUAUUUACUUUUUUGGAUUUUCUAUUGGUCUUUUUUUGGUAGGAAGUGAGGUAAAGGGAAGUAUUUUAGCAUGGGUAUGAUGACAGUUCGAAUUGUUGUCAUGUAUGUCCAAGUAUAAUAUAAUGACUAUUUGAGAUGCCUA